UACGGAGGGUGCGAGCGUUAAUCGGAAUUACUGGGCGUAAAGGGUGCGUAGGUGGUUUGGUAAGUUGGCUGUGAAAUUCCUGGGCUUAACCUGGGGCGGUCAGCCAAGACUGUCAAACUCGAGUAUGGGAGAGGGUAGUGGAAUUUCCGGUGUAGCGGUGAAAUGCGUAGAGAUCGGAAGGAACACCAGUGGCGAAGGCGGCUACCUGGCCUGAUACUGACACUGAGGCACGAAAGCGUGGGGAGCAAACAGG
rnacentral:rRNA from 1 species